AUACGGGAGGCAGCAGUGAGGAAUUUUGGACAAUGGGCGCAAGCCUGAUCCAGCCAUGCCGCGUGAGUGAAGAAGGCCUUCGGGUUGUAAAGCUCUUUCGGCCGGGACGAAAUCGCACCUUCUAAUACAAGGUGUGGAUGACGGUACCGGAAGAAGAAGGACCGGCUAACUACGUGCCAGCAGCCGCGGUAAUACGUAGGGUCCGAGCGUUAAUCGGAAUUACUGGGCGUAAAGCGUGCGCAGGCGGUUUUGUAAGCCAGAUGUGAAAUCCCCGGGCUUAACCUGGGAACUGCAUUUGGGACUGCAAGGCUGGAGUACGGCAGAGGGAGGUGGAAUUCCAGGUGUAGCAGUGAAAUGCGUAGAGAUCUGGAGGAACACCGAUGGCGAAGGCAGCCUCCUGGGCUAGUACUGACGCUCAUGCACGAAAGCGUGGGGAGCAAACAGGAUUAGAUACCCCGGU
rnacentral:rRNA from 1 species